AUGCGCAAAAAAUUUACUCUGGCACUUUAUAUGUAGCUUCUGUUCAGGUUGUUGUUGGUAAUGGUGAUACUCUCCCCAUCACUCAUUCUGGGUCUAUGUAAAAAUGGUCUUUAUCCUAUCUUUCCAACGUUAUCUUCUAGCUCCAACCAAGCUUUUUCUUCUAGCCUUGCUUUGUUUUUUUUGUGGCAUUGUCGUCUUGGUCAUCCCUCCAAUAAAGUUCUUCGCACUUUUAUCUCUCGCUACUUAUUAGGUUCUUUUUCUCAUUUAUCAAAUCUCCCCUAUAGCAAUUGUGCAUUAGCUAAAUCAAUCAAACAAACUUUUCUUUUCAUCUCAUGACCAUUGUUCUACUAAGCCAUUUGCUUUAAUAGAUUCAGAUGUGUGGAUGUCUCCUGUUGUUUCUGUUUUUGGAUAUUGCUAUUAUAUCUUGUUUACGAAUGAUUACACUCAUUAUUCAUAUAUU